rnacentral:rRNA from 1 species
ACGCGUAGGCGGAUUAUCAAGUCUUGAGUGAAAUCUAACGGCUCAACCGUUAAACUGCUUGGGAAACUGAUAAUCUAGAGUGAGGGAGAGGCAGAUGGAAUUGGUGGUGUAGGGGUAAAAUCCGUAGAGAUCACCAGGAAUACCCAUUGCGAAGGCGAUCUGCUGGAACUCAACUGACGCUAAGGCGUGAAAGCGUGGGGAGCAAACAGGAUUAGAUACCCUGGUAGUCCACGCCCUAAACGAUGUAUACUAGUUGUUGCUUUGCUAGUCAAGGCAGUAAUGCACCUAACGGAUUAAGUAUACCGCCUGGGGAGUACGGUCGCAAGAUUAAAACUCAAAGGAAUAGACGGGGACCCGCACAAGCGGUGGAGCAUGUGGUUUAAUUCGAAGAUACGCGAAGAACCUUACCCGGACUUGAUAUCCAACAAAUUCUGUAGAGAUACGGAAGUGCUAGCUUGCUAGAAUGUUGAGACAGGUGCUGCACGG